rnacentral:rRNA from 1 species
GACGAACGCUGGCGGCGUGCCUAAUGAAUGCGAGUCGAACGAGAACCAGAGAGUGUCUUCGGACUCACUCUGGGGAGAGUGGCGAACGGGUGAGUAACACGUGGGCAACCUGCCUCCGAGACGGGGACAACAGUGGGAAACUGCUGCUAAUACCCGAUAUGCUCCCGGCACCCAAGUGUCGUGAGGAAAGCUCCGGCGCUCGGAGAUGGGCCCGCGGCCGAUUAGCUAGUUGGUGAGGUAACGGCUCACCAAGGCGACGAUCGGUAGCCGACCUGAGAGGGUGACCGGCCACACUGGGACUGAGACAUGGUCCAGACUCCUACGGGAGUUAGCAUCAGGGAAUCUUGCGCAAUGGGCGAAAGCCUGACGCAGCGACGCCGCGUGGGUGAUGAAGGUCUGCGGAUCGUAAAGCCCUGUCAGGAGGGAAGAAGUUCUGACAGUACCUCCAGAGGAAGCCCCGGCUAACUACGUGCCAGCAGCCGCGGUAAAACGUAGGGGGCCAGCGUUGUCCGGAAUUACUGGGCGUAAAGAGCGCGUAGGCGGUUUAGCAAGCAGUGGGUGAAAUCCCGGGGCUCAACUCCGGGCCCGCUCGCUGAACUGCUAGACUGGAGUCCGGGAGAGGGCAGUGGAAUUCCUGGUGUAGCGGUGGAAUGCGUAAAUAUCAGGAAGAACACCGGUGGCGAAGGCUGCUGCCUGGAACGGUACUGACGCUGAGGCGCGAAAGCUAGGGGAGCGAACGGGAUUAGAUACCCCGGUAGUCCUAGCCGUAAACGAUGGACACUAGGUGUUGGGAGCAUCGACCCUCCCAGUGCUGUUCUGCUAACGCGUUAAGUGUCCCGCCUGGGGAGUACGGCCGCAAGGUUGAAACUCAAAGGAAUUGACGG